rnacentral:lncRNA from 1 species
UUAAAUCAUUUUUUUUUUUUUUUUGAUCCGUUCGAUAUUUUUAUCACCAUUUGAUUCCUACUUAUAACUGUAAUUCUAUUAAUAUUGAUAAAAGUAGAUUCGGUGUAAAGAGAUUUAAUACUCCCUUUCAGUAGCCGUAAUUAAAGAAAACACUUAAUUAGAAAGAAGCUAAAUUGCUUUUAGUAGUGCCAAGGUAAAAGACAAAAGCAAUUAAUGAUGGAAAAAAAGAAAAAAAGAAAGAAAGACAAAAAGCAAUUAACAAAUGUUCGCAAUGAAGACCUUAAAAACAAAAUUAAGAAACCGACAACGUUUCUUGUUUGUAUUUUGCUCAGCAUAUAACAACAGACGAAACGACGACGGUGGGGAGUAUACGAAGCAUUUUGAAGAUACGACGUUCUUAGGAUUCUUCUCUUACGAUUUCGUCUCUCUUGUCCUAAUAAGCGCAUGUGAAGAUUUUAUGGGUCUUUUGCGCAUCGCUUUC